UGACAGGUGAAGUGGGGGAGCAACCACA
rnacentral:piRNA from 1 species